GCCUAGUUAGUUCACUCAGUAGAGCACCAGAAUCUUAAUCUGGCUGUCGUGGGUUCGAAACCUGCACUGGGCU